GCGUAGGAAUCUACCUAGUAGUACGGAAUAGCCAUUAGAAAUGGUGGGUAAUACUGUAUAAUCCCCGAGGGGGAAAGAUUUAUCGCUAUUAGAUGAGCCUACGUUAGAUUAGCUAGUUGGUGAGGUAAUGGCUUACCAAGGCCAUGAUCUAUAGCUGGUCUGAGAGGACGAUCAGCCACACUGGAACUGAGAUACGGUCCAGACUCCUACGGGAGGCAGCAGUGGGGAAUAUUGGACAAUGGGCGAAAGCCUGAUCCAGCUAUGCCGCGUGAGUGAAGAAGGCCUUCGGGUUGUAAAACUCUUUCAAUAGGGAAGAUAAUGACGGUACCUAUAA
rnacentral:rRNA from 1 species